rnacentral:rRNA from 1 species
GUAAUGGCUCACCAAGGCGAUGAUCAGUAGCCGACCUGAGAGGGUGACCGGCCACACUGGAACUGAGACACGGUCCUAGACUCUUACGGGAGGCAGCAGUGGGGAAUAUUGCACAAUGGGGGAAACCCUGAUGCAGCAACGCCGCGUGAGCGAUGAAGGCUUCGGGUCGUAAAGCUCUGUCCUAUGGGAAGAAGAAGUGACGGUACCAUAGGAGGAAGCCCCGGCUAACUACGUGCCAGCAGCCGCGGUAAUACGUAGGGGGCAAGCGUUAUCCGGAAUCACUGGGCGUAAAGGGUGCGUAGGCGGCUAAGUAAGUCAGGGGUGAAAGGCAUUGGCUCAACCAAUGUAAGCCUUUGGAAACUGUUAGCUUGAGUGCUAGGAUAGGUAAGUGGAAUUCCUCAGUGUAGCGGUGAAAUGCGUAGAUAUUAGGAGGAACACCAGUGGCGAAGGCGACUUACUGGACUGUAACUGACGCUGAGGCACGAAAGCGUGGGGAGCAAACAGGAUUAGAUACCCUGGUAGUCCACGCCGUAAACGAUGAGUGCUAGGUGUUGGGGGUCAAACCUCAGUGCCGGAGUAACGCAAUAAGCACUCCGCCUGGGGAGUACGCUCGCAAGAGGUAAAACUCAAAGGAAUUGACGGGGAGCCCGCACAAGCAGCGGAGCAUGUGGUUUAAUUCGAAGCAACGCGAAGAACCUUACCUGAGCUUGACAUCCCUCUGAACGCCGGUAAAGCGGCCUUUCUUCGGGACGAGAGGAGACAGGUGGUGCAUGGUUGUCGUCAGCUCGUGUCGUGAGAUGUUGGGUUAAGUCUCCGCAACGAGCGCAACCCCUGUCAUUAGUUGCCAGCAAGUAAUGUUGGGCACCCUAAUGAGACUGCCGGUGACAAACCGGAGGAAGGUGGGGAUGACGUCAAAUCAUCAUGCCCCUUAUGUUCAGGGCUACACACGUGCUACAAUGGCCGAUACAAAGGGCAGCAAGAGAGCAAUCUGGAGCGAAUCCCAAAAAGUGCGGUCCCAGUUCGGAUUGAGGGCUGAAACUCGCCCCCAUGAAGCUGGAGUUGCUAGUAAUCGCGAAUCAGCAUGUCGCGGUGAAUG